rnacentral:lncRNA from 1 species
AGCAGCUCCAGCGUCCCGAGGUCACGACUGUUUCGAUCCAGGAAUUAAAACGCUUUUUCCCUGCUGAGAAACCCAUUAUUCUCCAUAUCAGCAGAGCUUCCAAAGCACUUUGCGGGAAAGAUUGGAUUAUUGUUGGAUGACGAAACCGCCUGGAAAAGUUACGGGGACAGAUCCUUGGCAUGCAUCAAAGCCAAGAGCGCCGGAUCCAGCGACGUGGAUGGGGAGGAGAGCCCCAGUGAGCAGAGCACAUAGCGAGCAGGCAUAGCACUUCGUUCCAUUGAAGAUGUAAUUCCAAGCGCCUGACAUCGCAGCAUUUCGUGGGGUGGGCUGAUGGAAAGGAGCUCAGGGAUCCGGAGCAGGGCGGUGAGGAAUGGUGUCGGAAACCACACGUUCACUUUAUUGAGAAGAGUGGUGAGAUGCCUAUAAAUCUUUCCAAGAGCAUUUCAGGAAACGAGCAGCAGUGUUCUUAGAAGGAAGCCAGUGCCAGCCAAGCUGAGAAAAAUCUGGCUUGAGCAACGCAGAGAGAAGGAAGGAAUGGAGGAAGGAAGCCAGCCAGCAGGGGAAGGUCGAGCUCCAAGUGUCCAGAACAUCCACUCUGCCAAGAGACAACCUGUUGGUGCGCAUCAGGACGUUCAAGGCAUGCUCCAGCAAUCCCAUGGCCAACACACACAACUGAAGUGACCACACAGGGCAUCCCUCCUCAGGCUGACCAUGGUCUGAUCUGUCUCCUCCAUGUGCUCGUGCCCAACUCCUGCUGAGCCCCAAGGAGCUGGAGGCAUUGCCCAAGGGAGCGAGGUGACUCCUUGGAGAACAACUCCAAUUGCUUCCUCCAUUGGUUCCUAUUGCCUUUUAUCUCCGCACCGAUCCACCUCCUUGCGUUUUGCACAGUGUCAUUGGAAGCUGAAGCUCACAGUGGGCUCAGCAAUUAGUGGUAGCACAGAAAUAUAAGGCAAAAACAAGUCUUGCUAAUGAGCUGACACAUUAAACAAUGAGUCACACUUCCAUAAGGAGCCCAAAUCGAGUUAUAACCCUAAAUAAACAAGCUGUGAGAAACAGUUUAC